rnacentral:rRNA from 1 species
UAGGGAAUAUUGGACAAUGGGGGCAACCCUGAUCCAGCCAUGCCGCGUGAGUGAAGAAGGCCCUCGGGUUGUAAAGCUCUUUUGUCCGGAAAGAAAAGCUUCGGGUUAAUACCCCGGGGUUCUGACGGUACCGGAAGAAUAAGCACCGGCUAACUUCGUGCCAGCAGCCGCGGUAAUACGAAGGGUGCAAGCGUUACUCGGAAUUACUGGGCGUAAAGCGUGCGUAGGUGGUUGUUUAAGUCUGAUGUGAAAGCCCUGGGCUCAACCUGGGAAUGGCAUUGGAAACUGGGCAGCUAGAGUGCGGUAGAGGGUAGUGGAAUUCCCGGUGUAGCAGGUAAAUGCGUAGAGAUCGGGAGCAACAUCUGUGGCGAAGGCGACUGCCUGGACCAGCACUGACACUGAGGCACGAAAGCGUGGGGA